UACGGAGGAUGCAAGCGUUAUCCGGAAUAAUUGGGCGUAAAGCGUCCGCAGGUGGCGAUGUAAGUCUGCUGUUAAAGAGUGAGGCUCAACCUCAUAAGAGCAGUGGAAACUACAUAGCUAGAGUGCGGUAGGGGCAGAGGGAAUUCCUGGUGUAGCGGUGAAAUGCGUAGAGAUCAGGAAGAACACCGGUGGCGAAAGCGCUCUGCUAGGCCGCAACUGACACUGAGGGACGAAAGCUAGGGGAGCGAAUGGG
rnacentral:rRNA from 1 species